rnacentral:rRNA from 1 species
UACGGAGGAGGCAAGCGUUAUUCGGAAUUAUUGGGCGUAAAGGGCGCGUGGGCGGCUUGGCAAGUGGAAGGUGAAAUCCCUCGGCUUAACCGAGGAACUGCCCUCCAAACUGCUUCGCUUGAGACCGGGAGAGGUGAGUGGAAUUCCCAGUGUAGCGGUGAAAUGCGUAGAUAUUGGGAGGAACACCAGUGGCGAAGGCGGCUCACUGGACCGGUACUGACGCUGAUGCGCGAAAGCGUGGGGAGCAAACGGG